rnacentral:rRNA from 1 species
UACGAAGGGGGCUAGCGUUGCUCGGAAUCACUGGGCGUAAAGCGCACGUAGGCGGAUUCUUAAGUCAGGGGUGAAAUCCUGGAGCUCAACUCCAGAACUGCCUUUGAUACUGAGAAUCUCGAGUUCGGGAGAGGUGAGUGGAACUGCGAGUGUAGAGGUGAAAUUCGUAGAUAUUCGCAAGAACACCAGUGGCGAAGGCGGCUCACUGGCCCGAAACUGACGCUGAGGUGCGAAAGCGUGGGGAGCGAACAGG